GACGUAGGGGGCCAGCGUUGCUCGGAAUUACUGGGCGUAAAGGGUUCGUAGGCGGUGUGGCAAGUCGGUAGUGAAAUCUCCAGGCUUAACUUGGAGGCUGCUGCCGAAACUGCCGUGCUAGAGUGCAGGAGAGGCGAGUGGAAUUACAGGUGUAGCGGUGAAAUGCGUAGAUAUCUGUAGGAACACCCGUGGCGAAGGCGGCUCGCUGGACUGCAACUGACGCUGAGGAACGAAAGCUAGGGGAGCAAACAGG
rnacentral:rRNA from 1 species